CGUCGUUGGAAAUGGCUGCUGUUGGUUCGGAGUGGCGUGACGUCAUUGUGAUGGUGUGGUGGCAGCGUCAUCAGAAAGGGGCCUCAUAUUCCUCACAUUUGGCAGGAAAUUGUCAGUGUUAGUGGCGAGGCAGCUUCUUGAUGGUCAGCCCUGUCUGGUGAUUGGCAGGUUUUAUUGGCAUUAAACUUCUGCUAUUCGGCGCAAUCAGUAGACGUCGUUUAAUCCGUCGCUUUCGAAGUCGCCACUGGAUUGUCCAUUUAGGAACCUACGUAGGUCAUCGUAAGGCUCUUCGUCGGUCCAUUGGCUGUCGUCGUCCAUGUCCAUAUCCGGCUCAGUGUCCGAUAUGGCUACUGCUGUUGCUGUAUUGGUGGCGUCUGAUGGUGUUGGCAGAGGGGCAGGAACUGCUGCUGCUGUUGGUUGGAGUGGGGGCAUGGCUGUUGUGCCCUUGCCAUUUGCUGCAGUCGAUUUUAUUUUGAGCGCAGCUGCCAUCACACUGGGCGUCUGGCCGCUGCUGCUGCUGGUGUUGGCGUGGCGUCAGGGCAUCAUUCGCGAUCGGCUGCAUCGGCUGGACCCUCUGGU